rnacentral:rRNA from 5 species
UUGACCUCAAAUCAGGUAGGAUUACCCGCUGAACUUAAGCAUAUCAAU